CUCGGUUUCUAGACAAUCAUAUCUUGAUAAACUAUGUCCACUCUUUUGACCAUUUUCCAAUUUAGUAAUUACAAAAUUAAUAAAUUCGAUGUGCAUCUCGUAAAAAUUUUCAUAUUUGUAAAUAUGAUUCAGAAGUAAUCUCAGUCAUGGCCGGAUUUUGAGGGGAGGUGUGGGGAGGUGCGCGCCGACUCCCCUGAGGUCGUUUUGCACCUCUCCUGAGAAUUUUUGCACCUCCCCUGAAACGUCAUGCACUUCCCCUUGGGAAAGUUUCAAUGAUAG